rnacentral:rRNA from 1 species
UGGGGAAUAUUGGACAAUGGGCGAAAGCCUGAUCCAGCCAUGCCGCGUGUGUGAAGAAGGUCUUCGGAUUGUAAAUCACUUUAAGUUGGGAGGAAGGGCAGUAAGCGAAUACCUUGCUGUUUUGACGUUACCGACAGAAUAAGCACCGGCUAACUCUGUUCCAGCAGCCGCGGUAAUACAGAGGGUGCAAGCGUUAAUCGGAAUUACUGGGCGUAAAGCGCGCGUAGGUGGUUCGUUAAGUUGAAUGUGAAAGCCCCGGGCUCAACCUGGGAACUGCAUCCAAAACUGGCGAGCUAGAGUAGGGCAGAGGGUGGUGGAAGUUCCUGUGUAGCGGUGAAAUGCGUAGAUAUAGGAAGGAACACAAGUGGCGAAGGCGACCACCUGGGCGCAUACUGACACUGAGGUGCGAAAGCGUGGGGAGCAAACAGG